AGGGGCCACAAGGGAGGACAACAGUGUGAGUUGGGCACGGCCACAGAGCAAGUGAGCAGAGCAGCUGGGCGCAUCUGAGAUGACGAAGAGGCAGCUGGUGACUGGAGGAGUGAUGUGUGCUUGUCCUUCAGAAGGAAGGGAAGAGGGAGACUCUCGGCCCCUUGAAAGCUAAAUGCCGAGGGAGGAGUCGUGCAGGGCGACGGAGGAGGGCCGAGGAUAGCGCUGUAAGCAGGUG